GACGAACGCUGGCGGCGUGCUUAACACAUGCAAGUCGAACGGUAAGGCCCUUCGGGGUACACGAGUGGCGAACGGGUGAGUAACACGUGGGUGAUCUGCCCUGCACUUCGGGAUAAGCCUGGGAAACUGGGUCUAAUACCGGAUAGGACUCCUGGCUUCAUGGUUGGGGGUGGAAAGCUUUUGCGGUGUGGGAUGGGCCCGCGGCCUAUCAGCUUGUUGGUGGGGUAAUGGCGUACCAAGGCGACGACGGGUAGCCGGCCUGAGAGGGUGACCGGUCACACUGGGCCUGAGAUACGGCCCAGACUCCCACGGGAGGCAGCAGUGGGGAAUAUUGCACAAUGGGCGCAAGCCUGAUGCAGCGACGCCGCGUGAGGGAUGACGGCCUUCGGGUUGUAAACCUCUUUCAGCUAUGACGAAGCGCAAGUGACGGUAGUAGCAGAAGAAGGACCGGCCAACUACGUGCCAGCCGCCGCAGUAA
rnacentral:rRNA from 1 species